UGGGGAAUUUUGGACAAUGGGCGAAAGCCUGAUCCAGCAAUGCCGCGUGUGUGAAGAAGGCCUUCGGGUUGUAAAGCACUUUUGUCCGGAAAGAAAUCCUUGGCUCUAAUACAGUCGGGGGAUGACGGUACCGGAAGAAUAAGCACCGGCUAACUACGUGCCAGCAGCCGCGGUAAUACGUAGGGUGCAAGCGUUAAUCGGAAUUACUGGGCGUAAAGCGUGCGCAGGCGGUUUGCUAAGACCGAUGUGAAAUCCCCGGGCUCAACCUGGGAACUGCAUUGGUGACUGGCAGGCUAGAGUAUGGCAGAGGGGGGUAGAAUUCCACGUGUAGCAGUGAAAUGCGUAGAGAUGUGGAGGAAUACCGAUGGCGAAGGCAGCCCCCCUGGGCCAAAUACUGACGCUCAUGCACGAAAAGCGUGGGGGAGCAAAACAGGAUUAGAUACCCUGGUAGUCCCACGCCCUAAAACGAUGUCAACUAGUUGUUGGGGAUUCAUUUCCUUAGUAACGUAGCUAACGCGUGAAGUUGACCGCCUGGGGAGUACGGUCGCAAGAUUAAAACUCAAA
rnacentral:rRNA from 1 species